rnacentral:rRNA from 1 species
GCUUCGCUAUUAGAUGAGCCUGCGUAAGAUUAGCUUGUUGGUGAGGUAAUGGCUCACCAAGGCAUCGAUCUUUAGCUGGUCUGAGAGGACGAUCAGCCACAUUGGGACUGAGACACGGCCCAGACUCCUACGGGAGGCAGCAGUGGGGAAUAUUGGACAAUGGGCGCAAGCCUGAUCCAGCCAUACCGCGUGUGUGAAGAAGGCCUUCGGGUUGUAAAGCACUUUAAGCAGGGAGAAAAAGUUAUAAGUUAAUACCUUAUAACCGUGAUGUUACCUGCAGAAUAAGCA